rnacentral:rRNA from 1 species
GACAAACGCUGGCGGCGUGCUUAACACAUGCAAGUCGAACGGUAAGGCCCUUCGGGGUACACGAGUGGCGAACGGGGGAGUAACACGUGGGUGAUCUGCCCUGCACUUCGGGAUAAGCCUGGGAAACUGGGUCUAAUGCCGGAUAGGACCACUGCCUGCAUGGGUGGUGGGGGACAGCUUUUGCGGUGUGGGAUGGGCCCGCGGCCUAUCAGCUUGUUGGUGGGGUGAUGGCCUACCAAGGCGACGACGGGUAGCCGGCCUGAGAGGGUGACCGGCCACACUGGGACUGAGAUACGGCCCAGACUCCUACGGGAGGCAGCAGUGGGGAAUAUUGCACAAUGGGCGCAAGCCUGAUGCAGCGACGCCGCGUGAGGGAUGACGGCCUUCGGGUUGUAAACCUCUUUCAGCACCGACGAAGCGCAAGUGACGGUAGGUGCAGAAGAAGGACCGGCCAACUACGUGCCAGCCGCCGCCGUAA